GUCCGGAUUGGAGUCUGCAACUCGACUCCAUGAAGUCGGAAUCGCUAGUAAUCGUAGAUCAGAAUGCUACGGUGAAUACGUUCCCGGGCCUUGUACACACCGCCCGUCACACCAUGGGAGUGGGUUGCAAAAGAAGUAGGUAGCUUAACCUUCGGGAGGGCGCUUACCACUUUGUGAUUCAUGACUGGGGUGAAGUCGUAACAAGGUAACCGUAGGGG
rnacentral:rRNA from 1 species